GUAGGUGGCAAGCGUUGUCCGGAAUUAUUGGGCGUAAAGCGCGCGCAGGCGGUUCUUUAAGUCUGAUGUGAAAGCCCACGGCUCAACCGUGGAGGGUCAUUGGAAACUGGAGAACUUGAGUACAGAAGAGGAAAGCGGAAUUCCACGUGUAGCGGUGAAAUGCGUAGAGAUGUGGAGGAACACCAGUGGCGAAGGCGGCUUUUCUGGUCUGUAACUGACGCUGAGGCGCGAAAGCGUGGGGAGCAAACAGGGAUUAGAUACCCUGGUAGUCCACGCCGUAAACGAUGAGUGCUAAGUGUUAGGGGGUUUCCGCCCCCUUAGUGCUGCGGCUAACGCAUUAAGCACUCCGCCUGGGGAGUACGGCCGCAAGGCUG
rnacentral:rRNA from 1 species